rnacentral:rRNA from 1 species
AUGAGAGUUUGAUCCUGGCUCAGGACGAACGCUGGCGGCGUGCCUAAUACAUGCAAGUCGAACGCUUCUUUCCUCCCGAGUGCUUGCACUCAAUUGGAAAGAGGAGUGGCGGACGGGUGAGUAACACGUGGGUAACCUACCCAUCAGAGGGGGAUAACACUUGGAAACAGGUGCUAAUACCGCAUAACAGUUUAUGCCGCAUGGCAUAAGAGUGAAAGGCGCUUUCGGGUGUCGCUGAUGGAUGGACCCGCGGUGCAUUAGCUAGUUGGUGAGGUAACGGCUCACCAAGGCCACGAUGCAUAGCCGACCUGAGAGGGUGAUCGGCCACACUGGGACUGAGACACGGCCCAGACUCCUACGGGAGGCAGCAGUAGGGAAUCUUCGGCAAUGGACGAAAGUCUGACCGAGCAACGCCGCGUGAGUGAAGAAGGUUUUCGGAUCGUAAAACUCUGUUGUUAGAGAAGAACAAGGACGUUAGUAACUGAACGUCCCCUGACGGUAUCUAACCAGAAAGCCACGGCUAACUACGUGCCAGCAGCCGCGGUAAUACGUAGGUGGCAAGCGUUGUCCGGAUUUAUUGGGCGUAAAGCGAGCGCAGGCGGUUUCUUAAGUCUGAUGUGAAAGCCCCCGGCUCAACCGGGGAGGGUCAU